rnacentral:rRNA from 1 species
AUUGAACGCUGGCGGCAGGCCUAACACAUGCAAGUCGAGCGAGCGGCGGACGGGUGAGUAAUGUCUGGGAACCUGCCUGCUGGAGGGGGAUAACUCCUGGAAACGGUAGCUAAUACCGCAUACCAUCAGAUGUGCCCAGAUGGGAUGAGCUAGUAGGUGGGGUAAUGGCUCACCUCGGCGACGAUCCCUAGCUGGUCUGAGAGGAUGACCAGCAACACUGGAACUGAGACACGGUCCAGACUCCUACGGGAGGCAGCAGGGGGGAAUAUUGCACAAUGGGCGCAAGCCGGAUGCAGCCAGGCGGCGGGUGUGAAGAAGGCCUUGGGGUUGUAAAGCACUUUCAGCGGGGAGGCGUUACCCGCAGAAGAAGCACCGGCUAACUCCGUGCCAGCAGCCGCGGUAAUAC